AGAAAAUGUAAACAUAUUUACAUCGGUUUUGCGAAGAAACGACGUAAAUAUAAAAACUUCUACAUCGAUUUUGUGAUUAACCGAUGUAGAUAUAAAAUGAAAAAGUUAUUCUACAUAGGGUUUAAUUUUUGACGGAUGUAGAAGUGAAAGACAAAUGUCCAAGUGGCCAAACCCUCUCAACACUCACGCUGGUGGACACUCUUCUCUUGCGUGCUGACCUUCACCAAAAUGUGGUUUGCAACAUCCUUCCCUCACCUGACCCCCCCACCACCCGACGACUUCAGCGAUUGGGCCCUCCUCCACGCCUCGACCCACUCCAUCGCCAACAAACCUGCCCUGCUCCACCCUAAUUCCCCAUCUCCUCCCUACGCCUUUGUGGGCUUCGGCACUUCCCUCGCUCUUCUCCUCACCAUCUUCAUCGCUUCCAAGAAAGGGUUUCACAUUUCGUUCGUGUGAUCGUUGCAAGGGGUGUUGAGUCGUGUGGAGACUCGCCCUGAUCAAAAUGACACUCCAGAGUCUGACGUUUUUGGCGGAACCAAGUCAAUGGUGUUCGAGAAUAGCGUUGCCGUUACGAAAAUUGGGAAAUGCUUCGUGCUUUUUAUUUUUUUUCAUCAUAAUAGUGGUUUUAGUAUUAUCGCAUUGAUUUGUUAUUUGAGUUCCUUACUUAGUCACUGAAAUUGCAGACAUAAUUUAAUGUUUCCUAAUUUCAGAAACUGAAAUAGUAACAUUUUGGAAAUUUAGGGAUAAAUUGACUGGUUUACUAUACUAGUAAAUUUAGGGUCUAAUUUUGUGUAUUACUAAUACUCUAAUUGUUUUUUGGUAGUUUUCUUAUCCUUGUUUUUCCUUGUCAUAUUUGUAGUUGUGGAAAAGCUUGAUCGAGUUGCGAUCUCAGUUUUGGUGGAUUCUACACAAGAAGCAUUGUCAGUCCUAAAGACAUUGAAGGGUUUUAAAUUGCGGACCGCAUCACGCAUUGCGGCCUCAAUAUUGCGGUUGCGGCCUUGUCCGCAACGGCAUCGGACCGUAAUUGCGGUGAGACCGUAAAUAACGGAUAUUUCCGUUGCGUAACGGUGUUGCAUCUGCAACACCUCCGUUUUGAAUCCGCAAACGACAACUUAAAGAAUCGUUUUUAAAAAAGUAACUUUUUUAAAUAAAAAAAAAAGUUAACUUUCGGGAAGCUUUUUCAGAGAAGAGAACAGGGAUUCAGAGAAUAUAUUCACGAGAUCAAUAAUGGUUCAAGGUUCAAACUUUGACAUAAAAGGUGAAAAACAAAGCAUAAACUUACACUUUCAUUCGGAACUCGGAACUCCCUUCGUAUCUCUACCAAGAAGAGGAAGCUUUUGUUAAUCGUAAGUUUUCUGCCUCUUACGUACUCCUGUUUCUCUUUGAUUUUGGCUUGAAAUGCUUGAAUUUGGUUUUCUGCUGCGGUGAAUA